AGAUGGUCUAAUGGGGACUCUCACCGCCGUUAAUCCUUUUGCUUUUCUUAGCACACCAAUUUUGAUUUCAGAAGCAACAUCGUAAGAAGUCCAACGUCCGACUUACCCCUGCGCACCUACAAUAUAUAUGCAAGUCCCCUUCACCUUUUUAGGGAUAUCACUAAUCUUAUUUUUUUCAUUUAUGCACAUAUAUAUAUAUAUAUAUAUAUAUAAUUUUUUGGGUGAAUGGAAUAUCUAAUUUAAUUUUAAGAGAAUCUUAUUUCCAUCUCUCUUUUUUUUUUUUUUUUCAUAUAUACAUAUACAGUAUUUUAUUUUUUUCAAAAGUACCAAUUUGCCUUUAAGUACUAUUGUUAUAUGAAUUUAGUGAACGAGGGCGCUAAGAACCAGAAAUUGCGUUUAUAUUUGAAUCUUAAACAUGUGUUUUUGCACUAAAAUUGUGGAGCUGGGUUUCAUGACCCACCGAGGGUGUGCAGUUUAACCCUUAAACCACGGUGAUCGAAUUGCACCGACCAAUGAUAGGCAGUGACAGUUGUCUGACCAAUCGGUUAAUCGGCACCGAUCAAGGUGCUUCUGUUGGUGAUGGUUAAGGAUGCUUAAAAACCGGUGGUGACCGAAAUCGAUUGAAUCCCUUACCCCCAAAAUUUCCCAUAUCACAGCUCCGAUAGAUCUCUAUUCUCUUUCUCAAAUAACACAGCUCUAAGGUCUCUUCUCCCUCUCUAGAUAUAUGGUUGUGAUUUUGUUAAGAGUAAAAUAAAAUAAAAAAAAAACCAUCUUCUAAUUAUAUAUAUGUGUGUAUAUGUAUAUAUAAGAGGAUUCUAUUGUGCGGGCCAUCUGCAUUAGGACACGAACCAAAACCGAUGCUUUUUGAAAAAAAAUGUCUGCUUUUAGUGCGAUCCAUAUGCGGACGGUCCGCACCGUAGAAUUACUGUAUAUAUAUAUAUAUAUAUAUAUAUAUAUAUAUAUAUAUAUAUAUAUAUGUGCAAGCAGAAUUAAAAAGAAUAUGAAGGUAGUUUGAUGGAGGAACAACAACAGCAAUGGCGACAAAACCAUCAGCAACAACAGCAGAAACAGCAGCAGCAGUGGAAGCAGUAGCAGAAGCACCAAAAACAGAGUGAAAUAGAGUGCUACAACAGCAAAUAAUAGAAUCCAAUUCAAAACUGGCCACACGUACCAGCUUCAAUACUGCACCGUUUUAGUUCUUUACGUUAAGUUUAAAUGUAGCAUCUUGGUAGAAAAGCAUGUAAUAAAACCAGCUUGUUCAUGCAGGUCCACCACAUUUUCUCUUUCGUCUUUGUAAAGACCAUAUAAACUUGAGCAUCAAGAUAGCUUUCUAGAUUGAAUGUUUUGAAAAAUAGAUCAUUAUUUUCAUUUUA